GAUGAACGCUGGCGGCGUGCCUAAUACAUGCCAGUCGAGCGAACGGACGAGAAGCUUGCUUCUCUGAUGUUAGCGGCGGACGGGUGAGUAACACGUGGAUAACCUACCUAUAAGACUGGGAUAACUUCGGGAAACCGUAGCUAAUACCGGAUAAUAUUUUGAACCGCAUGGUUCAAAAGUGAAAGACGGUCUUGCUGUCACUUAUAGAUGGAUCCGCGCUGCAUUAGCUAGUUGGUAAGGUAACGGCUUACCAAGGCAACGAUGCAUAGCCGACCUGAGAGGGAGAUCGGACACACUGGAACUGAGACACGGUCCAGACUCCUACGGGAGGCAGCAGUAGGGAAUAUUCCGCAAUGGGCGAAAGCCUGACGGAGCAACGCCGCGUGAGUGAUGAAGGUCUUCGGAUCGUAAAACUCUGUUAUUAGGGAAGAACAUAUGUGUAAGUAACUGUGCACAUCUUGACGGUACCUAAUCAGAAAGCGACGGCUAACUACGUG
rnacentral:rRNA from 1 species